AGGAUUAACGCUGGCGGCGUGCCUGACACAUGCAAGUCGAACGAGGCCGCAAGGCCGAGUGGCGGACGGGUGAGUAACACGUGACCAACCAACCUCGAAGUUGGGAAUAGCUCUGCGAAAGUAGGGGUAAUACCGAAUGUGGCCCAGGGCGGGCAUCCGCCUUGGUCUAAAGAUUCAUCGCUUCGAGACGGGGUCGCGGCCUAUUAGCUUGUUGGUGAGGUAACGGCUCACCAAGGCGAUGAUGGGUAGCUGGUCUGAGAGGACGACCAGCCACACUGGGACUGAGACACGGCCCAGACUCCUACGGGAGGCAGCAGUGAGGAAUCUUCCGCAAUGGGCGAAAGCCUGACGGAGCAACGCCGCGUGUGGGAUGAAGGCUCUAGGGUUGUAAACCACUGUCGGAGGGGACGAUCGUGACGGUACCCUCCAAGAAAGCCCCGGCUAACUACGUGCUAGCAGCCGC
rnacentral:rRNA from 1 species